rnacentral:rRNA from 1 species
AUUGAACGCUGGCGGCACGCCUUACACAUGCAAGUCGAACGGUAACAGGUCUUCGGAUGCUGACGAGUGGCGAACGGGUGAGUAAUACAUCGGAACGUGCCUAGUAGUGGGGGAUAACUACUCGAAAGAGUGGCUAAUACCGCAUGAGAUCUACGGAUGAAAGCAGGGGAUCGCAAGACCUUGUGCUACUAGAGCGGCCGAUGGCAGAUUAGGAAGUUGGUGGGAUAAAAGCGUACCAAGCCGACGAUCUGUAGCUGGUCUGAGAGGACGAUCAGCCACACUGGGACUGAGAAACGGCCCAGACUCCUACGGGAGGCAGCAGUGGGGAAUUUUGGACAAUGGGCGCAAGCCUGAUCCAGCAAUGCCGCGUGCAGGAUGAAGGCCUUCGGGUUGUAAACUGCUUUUGUACGGAACGAAAAGCCCCGGGUUAAUACCCUGGGGUCAUGACGGUACCGUAAGAAUAAGCACCGGCUAACUACGUGCCAGCCGCCGCCGCGG